GGCCCCUUUCCCCUCUCGAGAACUCCUCUUCCUCUGACCUAGACGGGAUCGCCCCGCCGCCGCCGCACCGUUUUGAUCUCCGCAUCACCGUCGUAGUACCCUCUGCUCCCACCCUUUCUCCUCCAAAUCGCUCGGCACUUCGAGUCUGCAUCACCUCCAGAAACCCUAACCCCAGCCCCCACCCCAGCCCCAAUGGCGAAGCCGGCGAGGUACGACGACGACAAAGACGACGAGGAGGUCUCCUCCUCCCCCUGCGAGGAGCAAACGGACCUGUCCGACGCUGGCGGCUUCGAAUCCGGCGAGGAGGGGGUAAAGGGCGAGGCGGAUGGGGAGGUGGACGAGGAGGAGACCGAGUCUGUCACAACUCACAACCGGUGCGGGCGCUGACGACUAGGAUGAUGGCGGUGCUGCCGCUGCGGGCGGGGAAGAAGUUGAGGAGGAGAGGGAGUCCACCGACGAUGACGAGUAAAUUUGGGACAUCUACAUCGCCGGGCUUUCUUGUGGGCUAGUGGGGCAGCUGCAAGGCAAUCCCACUCAAAAAAAGCUGCCAGACAACCACGUUACUGAUGUAAGUUUGCUCCUCUUCAUUGGGAAAGUAGUCCUGAUGUGCUCUUAUGCUCUUUUGAAUAAUUAGUUAUCAUUAGUUAUUGAAUUGUUUACUGUGGCAUUCCUUUUGAAUCCGAGUGGAGAGGCUGCAAGGCAACGGUUUGUAUAUGAAGUAAGGCUUUGUGUCAUUCCUUUUGAAUCCUCCAAUAGCAGACUUGAAGAACAUUAUAACUCUGGAUGUCUGAAUAAGGCAUGUUCUGUAACUAGCAUACUCUACACCAAAAAAGUUACUUAGUGGUGCUUCAUUGUUCUUCAAACGCUCCUUUUCAGAUAUUUAACACAUUCUUUUGUUGGUAUGCAGGUUUGAACAGUGGGCAUUUGUUGGACUGAUAUCAUGAUAUUUGUGAUUACUAACAUGUAUACUAUGCAUUAUGCACACAUAUUAAUUUGAUCUAUCAAAAAAUGUACUCUAUUUCCAAUCAAUAACCUAUCCAUUCCCCACACCUUAUGACUUUCUUGUUUUUUUGUUUCACUCGUUGUGGCAGAUUCUACAACCAUCAUAUUUGCACGCCAUCUUGGGUGAGCUCAUGUUUGUCGACGCAGUGCAAACUAUUAUUAUUCAUUCAGAUCUUGUUUGUGAAUUUUGUCUACACAAAAUAUACUCCUCGUAGAUCAUACUCGAUUAGGCAUGAUGCAACCUGGGUGAUUAAGGUUCUUUCAUUUUAGGACCUUGAGCUGGUUGCCUGGUUUGUGAGAAUAUGUGGUGUCAGAUCAGGCAUGAUACAUUUUGACAGCUUGAGCAAGUUGUCUGGUUUAUGAUGCAUUUAAAUGAA